GAUGAAGAACGUAGCGAAAUGCGAUACUUGGUGUGAAUUGCAGAAUCCCGUGAACCAUCGAGUCUUUGAACGCAAGUUGCGCCCGAAGCCACUAGGCCGAGGGCACGCCUGCCUGGGCGUCACACGUCGUUGCCCCCCACCAUCUACUCCUUCGGGAUUGCGGGGGGCGGAUGAUGGCCUCCCGUGCGCCUAGCCGCGCGGUUGGCAUAAAUACCAAGUCCUCGGCGACGCACGCCACGACAAUCGGUGGUUGCGAAACCUCGGUUGCCCGUCGUGUGCGUUCGUCGCGCAUCGAGGGCUCGAAAAAUUGCUCGGCUCCGGCUCGGCUUUCAACGCGACCCCAGGUCAGGCGGGGUUACCCGCUGAAUUUAAGCAUAUCAAUAAGCGGAGGA
rnacentral:misc_RNA from 1 species